UACGAAGGGGGCUAGCGUUGCUCGGAAUCACUGGGCUUAAAGGGCGCGUAGGCGGGCAGGCAAGUCGAAGGUGAAAUCCCACGGCUCAACCGUGGAAGUGCCCCCGAUACUGCCUGUCUCGAGGGAGAUAGGGGCGUGCGGAACUUCCGGUGGAGCGGUGAAAUGCGUAGAUAUCGGAAGGAACACCGGUGGCGAAAGCGGCGCGCUGGAUCUCUUCUGACGCUGAUGCGCGAAAGCCAGGGGAGCAAACGGGG
rnacentral:rRNA from 1 species